rnacentral:rRNA from 1 species
AUUGAACGCUGGCGGCAUGCCUUACACAUGCAAGUCGAACGGUAACAGGUCUUCGGAUGCUGACGAGUGGCGAACGGGUGAGUAAUACAUCGGAACGUGCCCGAUCGUUGGGGAUAACGAAGCGAAAGCUUUGCUAAUACCGCAUAAGAUCUACGGAUGAAAGCAGGGGACCGCAAGGCCUUGCGCGAACGGAGCGGCCGCUGGCAGAUUAGGUAGUUGGUGGGAUAAAAGCUUACCAAGCCGACGAUCUGUAGCGGGUCUGAGAGGACGACCAGCCGAACUGGGACUGAGACACGGCCCGGACUCCGACGGGAGGCAUGAGUGGGGAAUUUUGGACAAUGGGCGAAAGCCUGAUCCAGCCAUGACGCGUGCAGGAUGAAGGCCUUCGGGUUGUAAACUGCCUUUGUACGGAACGAAAAGACUCUGGUUAAUACCUGGGGUCCAUGACGGUACCGUAAGAAUAAGCACCGGCUAACUACGUGCCAGCAGCCGCCGUAACAC